GUCCACGCCCUAAACGAUGUCAACUAGGUGUCGGGAGCGCAAGUUCUUGGUACCGCAGCUAACGCGUGAAGUUGACCGCCUGGGGAGUACGGUCGCAAGAUUAAAACUCAAAGGAAUUGACGGGGACCCGCACAAGCGGUGGAUGAUGUGGAUUAAUUCGAUGCAACGCGAACAACCUUACCUACCCUUGACAUGUCCAGGAGGCGGCUGAAAGGUCGCUGUGCCCGCAAGGGAAUUGGAACACAGGUGCUGCAUGGCUGUCGU
rnacentral:rRNA from 1 species